UGGGGAAUAUUGGACAAUGGGCGCAAGCCUGAUCCAGCAAUGCCGCGUGUGUGAAGAAGGCCUUCGGGUUGUAAAGCACUUUUAUCAGGAGCGAAACGCUGUCGGCUAAUACCCGGCGGAACUGACGGUACCUGAGGAAUAAGCACCGGCUAACUUCGUGCCAGCAGCCGCGGUAAUACGAAGGGUGCAAGCGUUAAUCGGAAUUACUGGGCGUAAAGCGUGCGUAGGCGGUUCCUUAAGUCUGCUGUGAAAUCCCCGGGCUCAACCUGGGAAUGGCAGUGGAUACUGGGAGGCUAGAGUGUGUCAGAGGGUGGUGGAAUUCCCGGUGUAGCGGUGAAAUGCGUAGAGAUCGGGAGGAACAUCAGUGGCGAAGGCGGCCACCUGGGACAACACUGACGCUGAGGCACGAAAGCGUGGGGAGCAAACAGGAUUAGAUACCCUGGUAGUCCACGCCCUAAACGAUGCGAACUGGAUGUUGGUCUCAACUCGGAGAUCAGUGUCGAAGCUAACGCGUUAAGUUCGCCGCCUGGGGAGUACGGUCGCAAGACUGAAACUUAAAUGAAUUGACGGGGUCAUAGCUGUUUCCUG
rnacentral:rRNA from 1 species